GGAAGAUUGACAGAGAGGAUUAUUGUGCAUCACUGCUAACGAUGUGAGUUCAAAAAGCUCCGUAGGUUCGAAUCCUACAUCUUCCG
rnacentral:tRNA from 1 species